rnacentral:tRNA from 1 species
GGAGGCGUUCGGGGUACUGGUGUCCCCCGCGGUCUUCAAAACCGUUGAGGCCGAGGAUCUCGGCCUGGUGGGUUCGAUUCCCAUCCGCCUCCGC